GCCGGAUGCAGUGGCGCACACCUGUAAUCCCAGCAGCUCAGGAGGCUGAGACGGGAGGAUUGCGAGUUCAAAGCCAGCCUCAGCAAUUUAGCGAGGCCCUCAGCAACUCAGUGAGACCCUGUCUCUA
rnacentral:sRNA from 1 species